AUCACCUCUAGCAUAACUAGUAUUAGAGGCACUGCCUGCCCAGUGACAAUCGUUAAACGGCCGCGGUAUCUUGACCGUGCAAAGGUAGCAUAAUCACUUGUUCUCUAAAUAAGGACUUGUAUGAAUGGCCACACGAGGGUUUUACUGUCUCUUACUCUUAAUCAGUGAAAUUGACCUCCCCGUGAAGAGGCGGGGAUAAUACAAUAAGACGAGAAGACCCUAUGGAGCUUUAAUUAAUCAACUCAAAAAGCAUAAAAUAAUACCACCAAGGGAUAACAAAGCUUUAGAUGAGCUGACAAUUUCGGUUGGGGUGACCUCGGAGUAUAAAAAACCCUCCGAGUGAUUAAAACUUAGGCCUACUAGCCAAAGUAUAGUAUCACUUAUUGAUCCAAAAUUUUGAUCAACGGAACAAGUUACCCUAGGGAUAACAGCGCAAUCCUAUUCUAGAGUCCAUAUCGACAAUAGGGUUUACGACCUCGAUGUUGGAUCAGGACAUCCUAAUGGUGCAGCAGCUAUUAAGGGUUCGUUUGUUCAACGAUUAAAGUCCUACGUG
rnacentral:rRNA from 1 species